GCGGAUGGCCGGAUGACCGCGGGCAGCGCUGCCCGAGGAAAGUCCGGACUCCACAAGGCACGGUGCCGGGUAACGCCCGGCCGGGGUAACCCGAGGGAAAGCGCCACAGAGAACAGACCGCCUGCCGGACGCCCCUGACAGGGGCCGGCGGCAAGGGUGAAACGGUGGGGCAAGAGCCCACCGCGGGACGGGUAACCGGACCGGCACGGCAAGCCCCACCGGGAGCAAUGCCGAAUAGGGGUUCCGCGUCGGCCGCCCCGAAGGGGGUGGUCGGCAGGGUCGCCUGAGCCCGAGGAACCCGGGUAGGCAGCACGAGCCCGCCGGCAACGACGGGCCCAGAGGAAUGGUCAUCCAGGGGGGGCAACCCCCCGGACAGAAUCCGGCUUACAGGCCGUCCGCGCCU
rnacentral:RNase_P_RNA from 2 species